CUGACACAAGAUGCAUUUGAAAAAUAUUUUAAUAAUCUAAAACAAACAAUAGAUGUUGCAUAUUUGUCUUACAGUCUGUAUCCAGUGAAGGAGGUAAGAGGAACCAUAUUUUUUAAAGUUACCAGUUCUUUACUUGGGCAAGCUUUAAUUUUUCAUUAUCAGGAGUGGUAUUACCAGCCCACAAGUCACCCACAGUUGCCACAGUUCCCAGAUGGGCACAUUGUGACUGUAUCUAGGCUAACAAUCACAUCACAUCACAGUGCUUUUCUUCAAAUCAGACUGGAAACUUAUCUGAGCAAAUCUUCCCAAAGAGCAUGGAGGUGGGCAAUAGUAGGGGACCUCUGAGUGCUUUAAGGAGAAAGGAAUUUUAAAAAUCUUGGCUGGCUACUACUUAGAAUGAUGAGAUCAUUUAAUGCGCAGCAUUUAUAGAUUUCUGGCCAGUCUCUAAAAUUCCAAAACGAUUUCUGAAAAUUAGUGAUAGGAAAUUUUCCUAUAAAACUCUCUGCAGUGAAGACAAAUGGUAAGCACAAAUUUCAGUUGCAAGAACAAGAUGCACUUCUGCAUCCCCUGCUACCAUUUUCACAAGAAAAUACAAUUAUCAUGGGCUUUGCUGAAUGACUUUUGUGGAGAUUGGUCAGUAUUUUUCUGUCAAGGACUGGAAGAAGCUGCUUUUUCUCAAAUCUGGAGUGAAUCUAGAGAUUUAAGAGAAAUGAGUUGAUGGUUCACAAACCUCCUUGGGAACUUCCCAGGUGUGAUCUGGAACUGAAGCCCAUAUCCAGAAGUCAGGGAGAAAAGGAACAAAGAAGCAGACCACUCCAAAUUGAAACAAAUCUUUCAUUUGAAAACAAGAGGAGUCCCCAUUUUUUGUUGAGAAGAAUGAAUGGGAAUAUGGCAUUAAUGAUGAAGACAGGGUUCCUGAAAUUUAUUCAAGAGCUACAAGAGACAAGACUUCUUCCUUUAAUCACACAAUCUGACUGUGGAAGAACAGACAAGCGUGACUGUGGUACAUGGUCUCAGAGAAUGCUCUGCCUGCCCUGUUCUCAGCAGUGCCCCGUGUGGUGGUGGGUACAUGCUUGGGACCAACAGGGAGCCCUUCUUGCCUUCCUCUGCAUCUUAAUAUGGUUACCUGACUGAUUCCUGAUAUCAGGGAACUGUAACCUGAGAUGACAUAGGACCUCCUGGGAAUGCGCCUAUCUGCCCUGCCUUCCGUGGCUCCUUUUCACCACACACCCGGUUCUCUUGAUGGGAGGCUUGGCAAAACAACCCUUUGAAACCAUCCCAUCCUCCUGCACCUGCUGUUAUGCAGUAGGUUCUUAAGUGAAUAAAAGACUUGUUCACAUUCCAUAAAAAUGAGUCAUUUAUAAAGCUAAAAAUUAAAUGCAUGACAUGCUCAAGCUCUUAAGAAAAUUACUCAAUAAUAACCCUGAUCAACACUUCCCACUUACUGAGCAUCUUACGUAGAUCAGAAUACAGGAGUUGGAAGGCGCCCCAGGGAACACCUAAGCUCACCCUCUCAUUAGGCUCUGUUAGAUGGGGACCCUAGCACACAGGCACCCACAGAUCACACUGGAAAUGGCAGUUGCAAGGGCCGAUGCCAAAUCCUAAAAGUCACAAGGAUCCCACUUUCUCUCCCACUAUGAGCUGGCCCCUAGCAUCCUCAACAUGUCCAAACUCCCGAGCCACAGCUCACGCUGAGGAAGGGAUUCCCUGUAACCACUCUAGCCAGGGCCUCAGCUGGGGCCCCUGCUGAUUAUCUGAGGCAGCAUCUGAGCCAUUUGGCUCAUUUUCAAUCUUGCAAAAAAAAAAAAAUGAAAAUCUCAGUGGGCACUCUUUUCUAAGCUGGGGGAAUUAGACUCAUCAUCAGAAAGAAAAAGGGAGGCGGGUCAAUUUCUUUCAUCUUCUAGAAGACUAUAAAAGCAGCUAAUGUGACGCUGCAAAGUCACUUGUUUCCUGAGCCGAGCUCGGUGGCUGGGAUGGAAGGUCAUGUGAGAGCUGCAGUUCCACUGUGUGAAGGGCCUUGGAGGUGGUUGUUUGGGCAGCUCACAGUGGGUCUGACGUGCCCUUGUCUUGAAGGGCAGGCGUUCUGAAGAAACCAAGGGGAAAUGUCAAGUGAACCAAGGCUUCAAAGAGUGUGUUCUUAGAGUCUGAGGUGAGGCUUUCUCCAUGUUUAGGGGUAUGUUCAGCCAAUAUGCAGAGCCAGGGGGGGACACAUCACCAGCUUGGUGUGAGGAGCACACCUCCUUAUCCAGAGCACAGCAGGAAUUCAAUAAGGGAGCAUCAACCACCCCUCCUCCGCACUCUCCAAAAGUCCACAUCAGCAGGAUGAAUUUAGAAUCAGUUUAGCCUGAAGUGUGAUUGGUAGUCAUUUUGCAAGUCUAAAAUGUCUGCCAGCAUCUCUGUAUAAUAAACCAAGAUUCUCAGGGAGUUAAACUAUAACAGCAAUUCUGUAUUAAACCCAAACUGACUGGGAGCCCCAUGUGCACCUUGAAGCAAGAACCAAAAUAUUGACAACUCUUUUUUUUAACAGGAUAAGGUCUUCAUCCAUCAUCUCCCACAGGGUCUGAAACUCAGAAUGGCACUCUGUUCCUCUGACGAGAGCACAUGUGCUCACAGCUUAGGUUAGGACAUUGAAAAAAAAAUUCUGCAGUUUCAAAAAUAACCACGAAGUUUAAAAUUACGUUAGUCGUUUGGAUGAAAUUGUUGUAUUUAUACUAAAGGGUGUUUGAAGUGAUGUGUUUAUGUGUAUGGAUAUAUCUGUGUGCGUAUCAACCCUUUCCCAGCA